rnacentral:rRNA from 1 species
GACGAACGCUGGCGGCGCGCUUAACACAUGCAAGUCGAGCGGGAACCGGGCCUUCGGGCCCGGGGACAGCGGCGAACGGGUGAGUAACACGUGGGUAAUCUGCCCUCGGUACUGGGAUAGCCCGGGGAAACCCGGAUUAAUACCGGAUAGCCCUUCGAGCCUUCGGGCUCGCAGGCAAUGGUAGCUUUGGCCGCCGACCGAGGGUGAGCCCGCGGCGGAUUAGCUUGUUGGUGGGGUAACGGCCUACCAAGGCGACGAUCCGUAGCUGGUCUGAGAGGACGAUCAGCCACACUGGGACUGAGACACGGUCCAGACUCCUACGGGAGGCAGCAGUGGGGAAUAUUGGACAAUGGGCGAAAGCCUGAUCCAGCCAUGCCGCGUGUGUGAAGAAGGUCUUCGGAUUGUAAAGCACUUUAAGUCGGGAGGAAGGGCUGCAGGUUAAUACCUUGCAGCCUUGACGUUACCGACAGAAUAAGCACCGGCUAACUUCGUGCCAGCCGCCGCGGUAA